rnacentral:misc_RNA from 1 species
GAAAUGCGAUAAGUAGUGUGAAUUGCAGAAUUCAGUGAAUCAUCGAAUCUUUGACCGCACAUUGCGCCCCUCGGUAUUCCGUGGGGCAUGCCUGUUCGAGCGUCAUCUACACCCUCAAGCUCUGCUUGGUGUUGGGCGUCUGUCCCGCCUCCGCGCGCGGACUCGCCCCAAAUGCAUUGGCAGCGGUUCCUUGCCCCCCUCUUUGCGCAGCACAUUGCCAUUCGAGGCGGCGGCGGCCCGCGUCCAACAAGCUCAACCCCCCCGUCUUUGACCUCGGAUCAGGUAGGGAUACCCGCUGAACUUAAGC